rnacentral:rRNA from 1 species
CAGCAGCCGCGGUAAUACGUAGGUGGCAAGCGUUGUCCGGAAUUAUUGGGCGUAAAGCGCGCGCAGGUGGUUUAAUAAGUCUGAUGUGAAAGCCCACGGCUCAACCGUGGAGGGUCAUUGGAAACUGUUAAACUUGAGUGCAGGAGAGAAAAGUGGAAUUCCUAGUGUAGCGGUGAAAUGCGUAGAGAUUAGGAGGAACACCAGUGGCGAAGGCGACUUUCUGGACUGCAACUGACACUGAGGCACGAAAGCGUGGGGAGCAAACAGGAUUAGUGACCCGAGUAGUCCCUGUCUCUUAUAC